GAUGAACGCUGGCGGCGUGCCUAAUACAUGCAAGUCGAGCGAACAGACGAGGAGCUUGCUCCUCUGACGUUAGCGGCGGACGGGUGAGUAACACGUGGAUAACCUACCUAUAAGACUGGGAUAACUUCGGGAAACCGGAGCUAAUACCGGAUAAUAUAUUGAACCGCAUGGUUCAAUAGUGAAAUACGGUUUUGCUGUCACUUAUAGCUGGAUCCGCGCCGCAUUAGCUAGUUGGUAAGGUAACGGCUUACCAAGGCGACGAUGCGUAGCCGACCUGAGAGGGUGAUCGGCCACCCUGGAACUGAGCCAAGGUCCAGACUCCUACGGGAGGCAGCAGUAGGGAAUCUUCCGCAAUGGGCGAAAGCCUGACGGAGCAACGCCGCGUGAGUGAUGAAGGUCUUCGGAUCGUAAAACUCUGUUAUUAGGGAAGAACAAAUGUGUAAGUAACUAUGCACGUCUUGACGGUACCUAAUCAGAAAGCCACGGCUAACUACGUG
rnacentral:rRNA from 1 species